GUGCCAGCAGCCGCGGUAAUACAGAGGGUGCAAGCGUUGCUCGGAAUCAUUGGGCGUAAAGGGCAAGUAGGUGGUCUCAUUUGUCUAGGGUGAAAUCCUUGAGCUUAACUCAAGAAGUGCCCUAGAAACGGUGAGACUCGAGUUCUGGAGAGGGUCGUGGAAUUCCCGGUGUAGCGGUGAAAUGCGUAGAGAUCGGGAGGAACACCAGAGGCGAAGGCGGCGACCUGGACAGAUACUGACACUCAACUGCGAAAGCGUGGGGAGCAAACAGGAUUAGAUACCCUCGUAGUCC
rnacentral:rRNA from 1 species